CUUUAUAUGUCGUCUGUGUAAUUUUUACAACACCUCUGUUUGUUGCUGGCUCCAUUUUGCAGAUGGGGAAACCAAGACACAAAGAGAUGAUGCCAUUGUUCAAGGUCACGCAGCUAGAAGAGGGCAGAGCCGGGCUCCCAACACAGGCACUCUGGCUUGAGCCGGAAAUUUCGGCCCCUCCGCUGUACUGGAUUGUUGAUGGCGCACUGCUGCAGCCAUCCUGUGAUGAUGAGGCAAGACAUUACCAACAUGGGAAGGAGGCUGACACCUCUUUGAAGACAUCAUUGAGCCACUGGAUUUCCAAACUCUAGAACUUCUCUCCUUUGUUAUCCACCUGGGAUGGAGGUACCAUGCUGUGUAUUCUUCAAGUUUAAUUCACCGGAAAUGCCUGUCUGUGCCUUAGGACCCUGGGGAACUUCCCUCUUCACCCUUCCGGAACCUCCCAGGACUGUGCAGGGUUAGUGGAUCCUAUCCAUGCUCCUCACCUGGCCUUUGACGCUCAUGAUGCUUUGCCUGGCCUCCCAUCCUCCAGUUGUGGCUCAGUGCCACCCCUACAUCUUUAUAGGU
rnacentral:lncRNA from 1 species